UGAAUACGAGAUGCUACGGCGUCGAAGCAGUCUAUGUCAUACUUCCAAGAAAAGCUUGCACUGUCAUAAACAAAUAAUGCCUGUACCAUAACCGACACAGGUGGGUAGGUAGAGUAUACUAAGGGGCGCGAGAUAGCUCUCUCUAAGGAACUCGGCAAAAUGACUCCGUAACUUCGGGAGAAGGAGUGCCUUAUUUAUAAGGUUGCAAUAACAAGAUCCAAGCAACUGUUUACCAAAAACACAGGUCUCCGCUAAGUCGUAAGACGAUGUAUGGGGGCUGACGCCUGCCCAGUGCCAGAAGGUUAAAGAAGUUGGUUAGCAUCCGCGAAGCUGAUAACUGAAGCCCUGGUGAACGGCGGCCGUAACGAUAACGGUCCUAAGGUAGCGAAAUUCCUUGUCGGGUAAGUUCCGACCCGCACGAAAGGCGUAAUGAUUUGGAUACUGUCUCGGAGAGGGGCUCGGUGAAAUAGACUUGUCUGUGAAGAUGCGGACUACCUGCACCAGGACAGAAAGACCCUAUGAAGCUUUACUGUAACCUGAAAUUGAAAUUGGACUUUACUUGCGCAGUAUAGGUGGGAGGCGUUGAGAAUAUUCUUGCGGGAUUAUUGGAGCCAUCAGUGAGAUACCACUCUUGUAAUGUUAGAUUUCUAACUUUGUAUCAUUAUCUGGUCAAAGAACAGUUUCAGGCGGGCAGUUUGACUGGGGCGGUCGCCUCCUAAACGGUAACGGAGGCGCACAAAGGUUUCCUCUGAACGGGUAGAAAUCGUAUCUAGAGUGUAAAGGCAUAAGGAAGCUUGACUGUGAGACCUACAAGUCGAGCAGGGACGAAAGUCGGUCUUAGUGAUCUGACGGUGCUGAGUGGAAAGGCCGUCACUCAACGGAUAAAAGUUACUCUAGGAUAACAGGCUGAUCUCCCCCAAGAGUUCACAUCGACGGGGAGGUUUGGCACCUCGAUGUCGGCUCAUCGCAUCCUGGGGCGGUAGUACGUCCCAAGGGUUGGGCUGUUCGCCCAUGAAAGCGGUACGCGAGCUGGGUUCAGAACGUCGUGAGACAGUUCGGUCCAUAUCCGGUGUAGGCGUUAGAAUAUUGAGAGGAGCCUUCUUUAGUACGAGAGGACCGAGAAGGACAUACCUCUGGUGUACCAGUUAUCGUGCCAACGGUAAACGCUGGGUAGCUAUGUGUGGAGUGGAUAACCGCUGAAAGCAUCUAAGUGGGAAGCCCACCUCAAGAUAAG
rnacentral:rRNA from 1 species